rnacentral:rRNA from 1 species
GACGAACGCUGGCGGCGUGCUUAACACAUGCAAGUCGAACGGUGAAGCGCCUUUCUUUUUGGUGUGUGUGGAUGAGUGGCGAACUGGUGAGUAACACGUGAGUAACCUGCCCCCUUCUUCUGGAUAACCGCAUGAAAUUGUGGCUAAUACGGGAUAUUCUGGGUCUGUCGCAUGAUGGGUCUGGUAAAUAUAUUGUUUCGUUGGGGGAUGGGCUCGCGGCCUAUCAGCUUGUUGGUGGGGUGAUGGCCUACCAAGGCGGUGACGGGUAGACGGCCUGAGAGGGAGGAAGGCUGAGAGGGUGGUGAGACACGGCGGAAACUAGAAAGGGAGGAAGCAGUGGGGAGUAGUGGAAAAGGGGAGCAAGGCUGAUGCAGCGAAGGCGCGUGGGAGAGGGAGGGCGUGGGGUUGUGAACCUCUUUCGGCAGUGAAGCAGGCCUGCAUGGUUUGUGGGUGGGGUGACGGUAGCUGGAUAAGAAGCGCCGGCUAACUACGUG